rnacentral:rRNA from 1 species
AAUGAACGUUGGCGGCGUGGAUUAGGCAUGCAAGUCGAGCGAGAAGCCUCCUUCGGGGGGCGGAAAGCGGCGAAAGGGAGAGUAACGUGUGGAUGAUCUACCCUCGGGUUCGGGAUAGCUGCGGGAAACUGCAGGUAAUACCGAAUAACAUCUCCGGAUCAAAGGUGUGAUUCCGCCUGAGGAUGAGUCCACAUCCUAUUAGCUUGUUGGUGGGGUAAUGGCCUACCAAGGCAACGAUGGGUACCGGGUGUGAGAGCAUGACCCGGCUCACUGGGACUGAGACACUGCCCAGACACCUACGGGUGGCUG